UAAUAUAUUAUCCCAAAACCUGAAAACUCAUGGGAAAACAAGCUGAAGGAAAUGUAGUACAAUUCUCUAACUCCAGAAUAUCUAAAACAACAGUAAGAGAGGAAGGCUAACUGCUAAAAGAUAGAAUAAGAUAGAGACUCAUUGGUCUACUAGCGCGGAAGAUAUGCCUCAAAGUCCCUGCUAGAUAUCUCCGCCUCAAGGGUGAUAUGCCUGGGUAGAGG
rnacentral:lncRNA from 1 species